rnacentral:lncRNA from 1 species
UUUUCAUUAUUUCUAACCAUUGGAUUAAAUACUAUAACCCAGUGGGGACCACUCAACCCUAGGGGGACCACUCAACUCUAAUCGACUAAUAUCAUCCUGACCCUAUAAUUUUUCAUCCAAGGGUUAAAAACUUGAUAGCAAAAAGAAAAUUUUACUAUUAAUAAUAUUACAGUCUAAUUAUAUAUAUAUAUAUAUAUAUAUAUAUAUAUAUAUGAUUUUUAUUUU